rnacentral:rRNA from 1 species
UACGUAGGGUGCGAGCGUUAAUCGGAAUUACUGGGCGUAAAGCGUGCGUAGGUGGUUUGUUAAGUCUGAUGUGAAAGCCCUGGGCUCAACCUGGGAAUUGCAUUGGAUACUGGCAGGCUAGAGUGCGGUAGAGGAUGGCGGAAUUCCUGGUGUAGCGGUGAAAUGCGCAGAUAUCAGGAGGAACACCGGUGGCGAAGGCGGGACUCUGGGCCGAUACUGACGCUGGAGGAGCGAAAGCGUGGGGAGCAAACAGG